UAGGGAAUUUUGGGCAAUGGGCGAAAGCCUGACCCAGCAACGCCGCGUGUGGGAUGAAGGCCCUCGGGUCGUAAACCACUGUCAGGAGGAAAGAAAAGUCGGCCGGAUAAUACUCGGUCGACCUGACGGUACCUCCAAAGGAAGCACCGGCUAACUCCGUGCCAGCAGCCGCGGUAAUACGGAGGGUGCAAGCGUUGUUCGGAAUUACUGGGCGUAAGGCGCGUGUAGGUGGUCGAGUAAGUCGAAUGUGAAAGCCCCGGGCUCAACCCGGGAAGUGCAUCCGAAACUGCUCGACUAGAGUCCCGGAGAGGAAGGCAGAAUUCCCAAUGUAGGGGUGAAAUCCGUAGAUAUUGGGAGGAAUACCGGUGGCGAAGGCGGCCUUCUGGACGGUGACUGACACUCAGACGCGAAAGCGUGGGGAGCAAACAGGAUUAGAUACCCAUGUAGUCCCUGAGCGGGCUGGCAAGGCGCAU
rnacentral:rRNA from 1 species